AUGCCCCCUUUCACUUUGUCAACUGGACUUAUGUCUUCAUUUGCCAUUCAAGUGGAGCAAAGGAAAUAACCUUUUAAAACUCAGGCAAGCUUCCUGUUCAUCUUGUAACCUGUCAGGCGAAACAUUG
ensembl:snoRNA